AAGCGUGAGAAGCGUAGUGGUCCGCAAGAAGGGCUUUUGCCGAUAGGCGCAAAGAUAGCACGCGUCGCCUGUAUGGAAAUAAAGCGCUGUGUGAGCAGAGGUCUGUCUGAAGCGGCUGCCGUGUAUCGCGCCCACGUGUUACCCGCGAGCUGCCUCGCGUGAUAUCCCUAUAGACAAGAAUGGCGCCGCGAGCGGCGCUGCUGCACCGGCGUUGAGAGCGCCGCAUGCGGGACAAAAUUCAACUAGCGGGUGCUACGCCUCUCCCAUCUCUGAAUUUGAUGCCAAGCAGAAUAGGAGGCAGGAGGCGCUGUUGGGCGAGUCACGGCCACUCGAUGCAAAAGCAAUGUGCUUUUGCAUUGAGCGGCUGUGGGCGAGCCAUAAUUGUCAGGACCUUAGAUAAGCUCCAGCAUCACUCAGUAUGCUUCAUCUUAAUGAGAAACAAUCUACUGAUGAUUAUUUGCAAUGAUAAGCGUUUCUAUUUCAUCUAAGUUGCAUUAGUUGGGAAACUCGGUACAAGUUCUCCCCAUGUAAAGUUUUUACUUUGCGUACGUGUUCACGAGAAGUAAAUAAAAGUACUGGUAGAUUGAUUCAAGCAGAACCUCUCGAUGGAAGUGUGUUUCCCGGUCGUGCAUCGUACGGACAACGGUAACGGAUAGCGUUCAGGCGUAUUGUAGAACAGAUUUCCACCCCUGUGACAAUCUAUUGGCGUUUCUAGCGUCAUCAACACUUCUAAUGACGACUUCAAGAUUUUAUCUGAAAUUUCCAAAUAUAAAACGCAUUAUUUAUGUCUUCAUUUCAGUGUCAGAUCACACCUGCUGACGCAGCUGCGAAGGCGCUCUCUAUCAGCAGCCGUCCCCAAUCAGUGGCGCCGCAGCGGGCGCACGGAGAACUAGGCCCGAGAAGCCGUUCAGGUGCGAAGCAGCGGGCCGCACCCUGUGCUUUUGCAUCAAGCGGCCGUGUCCAGGCACUGGAGGACCGUAUUUUCAUCCCUACUGAACAUCAUGUUUGCAGAUAUGUUCCUCAACUUAUGGCUUGAGCAGUGGCACAACCAGGGAUGGUGCGAGGGGCACACUGGGCAAGUGCUUAGGAUGUGUCACAAGUGGUGUUUGCGACACAUCAGACUAAUGACAGACCUAUGACAUCUGACAAUGACCAAUAUUCUAUUUAUUAGCAGGAGUAUUUUAACAUUGGCGUCGAACGAGGACGAACUGUCGAUUAUUUUUUUUCUUUAAAUCUAAAAAUGGAAGUUAGCUUAGCAGUUGAUUGUUGCAGUCAUUUAGAUGUUUCGCAUGCAUUUUGAUCAGUAGAAAGGCUAAAGCUAAGACUUUCUUUUAGUGCCAUGACCUUGACUGUCUUGAUGUUGGUUUACACCAUGUCCUCGUGUUGACUUUUGCACACAAUCUUUUCCAGGCACCCGCUUUAUAUAACGCAAGAAGGCAGCUGCAAGGACACAGGGAUGUCAAAGAGCCAGCCCAGCGCGACUUCGCGUAGUGAAGAGGAGCGCACGCCAAAGAAUCAAAAUGCAUUGCCGUGCAAUUUGGACAAGAAAACUAGAAUGUGGGUAUAUUGGGUGUACCAUUUGACUAAAUGUCAACGAAAUCACAAUACAGUACGUCGCACCAAGAUGAAAAUUCUCAUGUGCUCUAGGCAGUCAUCUUAACAUGGUAUACUUAUGUAAUGUCUCCGUUGGGAAAGUCAAAAUCAAGUAUGCUCUCUGGAGACAAACACAUAGGAGCAAGUGUCAUUGAAAAGUUAGAAAUGUGUUUUAAAAAAAUAGCUGAUUAGUUGCGAGAAGUGAGUGCUUUUUGUCUUGCCUCUCAACAGAUAUAUCCAUGGGAUAAAAAAAUAGUGGUACAAUGAAAUUGCAUAUUUGCUUAGCGACAUGAUACAUACUUGUAAUGAACUCGGUGCCUGUGUUCACUAUAGAAAGCAACAGCUCAUGCUUGGUUAGGUGCUUACAUACAUUUAACAGCUUUAAUAGCUUACAUUUAACAGCACGUGAAUGCAAGGGUGCAAAUACAAACCACUGAUGUUGUAUUUUAAAUGCCGACAUGAAGCAGGGAGAUUUUCAUGUCUUCCUUUUCAUCUAUCUUUUACACCUAAUUUUAGAAUUAUGGUUUCAUUUUAGGUUCCAGAAAGCGGAAGCGUUAGGGGAAGAGAAUUCCAUGUUUAAGAAGUCAUUAUCGUUUAUGUGCAUGCUCACGAAACCAGUUCAUUAGAACCGCUCGUGCCUCGCGAAGCGAAAGCAAGGAGCAAUUAGGGCCUUUAACUGUGUACACCGUGGUGCAAACCUUACGUCUUAGAAGCCGGAGAGUCACUUGGAAUUGAAAAUUAUCUUAGAAAUGUAAUAUUGUGGUUUCUCCAAACUGCUUGCCAACCAAGUAUGCUAGUGGGGGUAGAGAUGCAUUCAAUGCAAAGAACUGAAAGCAUCUGAGUAGAAAAUUUGGCCAUCAAUUGGCGGAUGUGAACAUAUAGUGUUAAGCGAAAGCACCUUAGUUUCAUGUCUUCUGUAGACAUUCUUCUGGACUUAAGAUAGAGUGCACAGUGAGGCGAUGUAUUAAUCUUCCUAGACACACAUGUACUUGUUUUGAGACGAAGAUUCUGUGAAGUGCAAUAAUUUUUCUUACUUUAGCGCAUCUUAACCACAUCAGUAGGAAGAAAGCUUUGGUUUCAGGUAGUUGGUUGAUUGUGGAAGUAUAUGCAUUGUCGCAUGAAAAAUCCACGUGAAUGGAAGGGAUAUGUGAAACAGGAUGGUGCCAUUCUCAAUUUAUGUUUUGUUUCUUUGGUUGUUUUUUUCCUGCACUUCCCUGCCUGUACUUAUGUCGCCUUUGAUGCAUCAUAUUCAUAUCUAAUUUUUGGUUCACAUCUGAAGCCAUGCUUUACUUUAGUUACAUUGCAUAUUCAAUGAGUCACAAUAAUUGAUCAUG